CCUUCUCAGCGACCUUCCGGUCAAGCUCGGAUUUUGCCUGGCUCAGCUCUAGUUGCACACGCAAAAUCUUGCUUUCUUCAUGUUCCAGGGAACCCUAAUAAAAGCAAAGGAGUGACUGGAAGUGCCGUGGACAGCCAUCUUCUUGAGUGGGUAUUUUCAUCCCCAUUAUGAUAAAAGGGGUAUGAUAAUAAUACCCAUUUAACAGAACCAUCUCAGUCACCCACCCUGCACUGGCCACAGCAGAUUAUGACAUCAGGACCCUGCACUACUUUGACUGCACAGAAUUCCCAGUAGCCAAAGAUGAUUGUGUGCAACUGAGGGAUUUGGAGCCAGCUCUCGGGAUGUUUGGCAUUCCGCAUCUUGAAGAUUUCAGUACUGAGUGACCUGGACUCUUUCUGAGCUGCUUCCAAUUCAGCUUGACUCUCAUCCAGCUUUUGCUUCCACUCUGCAAGGACCUAGAUGACAAACGGAUGUGUGAGAAGCAGAAAGGGUCAGGGGACUAUCAGCAAUGCCAAGGUUUGACCCUUCCAUCCUUGGGGACAAGAAGAAGCCUCAUUUUAGACCAGGGGCUCCAAACUCUGAUAUCCCUAUAGUGAUCUGCUGAAUUAUUAAAGAUGCUUUAACCUCAAAGUAAGCUGCACUAGCUUUAACUAAAAAUUCCCUUUGUAGAGACCGUCACAAAAGGAAAGAGACAUUGCAAAUCCCCAAACCUCCCCAACCUGGGGCUUGAUGUUUUGACUGAGGACCUCCCAGAAUGUGCGAGCAUCUCACACAUGUAUGUGGGCGCAAAAGACUGUCACUUUCAUCUCUACUAUGAU